AUUGAACGCUGGCGGCAGGCUUAACACAUGCAAGUCGAGCGGAGAUGAGGUGCUUGCACCUUAUCUUAGCGGCGGACGGGUGAGUAAUGCUUAGGAAUCUGCCUAUUAGUGGGGGACAACAUUCCGAAAGGAAUGCUAAUACCGCAUACGUCCUACGGGAGAAAGCAGGGGACCUUCGGGCCUUGCGCUAAUAGAUGAGCCUAAGUCGGAUUAGCUAGUUGGGGGGGUAAAGGCCUACCAAGGCGACGAUCUGUAGCGGGUCUGAGAGGAUGAUCCGCCACACUGGGACUGAGACACGGCCCAGACUCCUACGGGAGGCAGCAGUGGGGAAUAUUGGACAAUGGGCGGAAGCCUGAUCCAGCCAUGCCGCGUGUGUGAAGAAGGCCUUUUGGUUGUAAAGCACUUUAAGCGAGGAGGAGGCUACUUAGAUUAAUACUCUAGGAUAGUGGACGUUACUCGCAGAAUAAGCACCGGCUAACUCUGUGCCAGCCGCCGCCGUAACAC
rnacentral:rRNA from 1 species